GAGCAGUGAUGAGAAGGUUUCACUGCUGACCUUUGUGACUAUGAAGAUUUCUACACUUGAACUGAACUCA
ensembl:snoRNA